rnacentral:rRNA from 1 species
GAUUUCUGACGAAACUGCUAGCUGGCCCGCCACGCAAGUGUGUGAGUGCCGGCUUGGCGUUUGUCAUCCGUUCGAAUGAUAUGCGUGCUGCCCUUCACUGGGUUGGCGCUGCAUGUUUUCGAUCUUUUACUUUGAAAAAAUUAGAGUGUUUAAAGCAGGCUUGCGCUAUGAAUACAUUAGCAUGGAAUAAUAAUUUAGGACUUUGCUUCUAUUUUAUUGGUUUCUAGGAGUAAAGUAAUGAUUGAUAGGGAUAGUUGGGGGUGCUAGUAUUCAUCGGCCAGAGGUGAAAUUCUUGGAUUCGAUGAAGACUAACUAAUGCGAAAGCAUU